rnacentral:rRNA from 1 species
GUGGCAGCCGCCGCGGUAAUACGGGGGGUGCUAGCGUUGUUCGGAAUUACUGGGCGUAAAGCGUAUGUAGGCGGUUUGUUAAGCGGAAUGUGAAAUCCUCAGGCUCAACCUGAGAACUGCAUUCGGAACUGGCAGACUUGAGUACGGAAGAGGGAGACAGAAUUCCAGGUGGAGGGGUGAAAUCCGUAGAGAUCUGGAAGAAUACCGGUGGCGAAGGCGGUCUCCUGGUACGUUACUGACGCUGAGAUACGAAAGCGUGGGGAGCAAACAGGAUUAGAUACCCUGGUAGUCCACGCCCUAAACGAUGAGGACUAGACGUUGGGGGGAUAAAACCCUUUAGUGUCGCAGCUAACGCGUGAAGUCCUCCGCCUGGGGAGUACGGCCGCAAGGUUGAAACUCAAAUGAAUUGACGG